CGAGUAACACGUGAGUGACCUGCCUUUUAGACUGGAACAACUUACCGAAAGGUGAGCUAAUGCCGGAUGAGUUAUAUAAGUGCAUGUUUAUAUAGGAAAAGUUGGGGAGACCUGACGCUGAAAGAUGGACUCGCGUCCCAUUAGCUAGUUGGUAGGGUAAUGGCCUACCAAGGCGACGAUGGGUAGCCGGCCUGAGAGGGUGGCCGGCCACACUGGGACUGAGACACGGCCCAGACUCCUACGGAAGGCAGCAG
rnacentral:rRNA from 1 species